CUAAGGAUUAUCCCAGGCAAAUGGAGGGGUCAUCCCUGCCUGCUUCCUGGAUCCCCUGUGUGUCAUUUGGAUGCACGGGGAUGAUCCCGGGACAAUCCCGGGAUAUAGGCCUGGUCUAGCCAUGGCCAAAGAGAGAGGAAUGGCAGAAGCAUGAGUUCCUCACUUCAUUGCCUCUUCCCUCAACCUAGGCUUCUGUAUUUCUUUUGGCCAGGUAGUUGAGAGUGGGUGACUUCUCUGCUCAUCAACCUGUUUGUGUUGACAGUGCUGAAGUCCAGUUCAAUAUUCAACACAGGCUUCCCUAUGGCUCCUCAAGCUUUGUAGGUCAGUGCUCUGCUUCCUCUUGACUCUAAAUCUCUAGACCAUGAAACGAGAGUGGGCAGAGUUAAUUGAACUGCCUUUUGCCUUUUGGGAGAGGCUCCUACAGAGUUUGUGAGCCACUGCUUUUUUAUAUGUACCGAACUUGCAUAUUGCAAUGUUCGAUUUGUCUUGUGUUUAGAGAUAAUACCAAGGGAUAUGAUCUUAAAAGAUGGAAGGCCCUAUGCUUGGAAUUGCAUUCCAAUACAUGAUGGGAAAAUGCGUUCUCAUCUUAAUUUUCAUCUUUACUAAUACUAAAUAUUUGGAGUAUCUGCCUAUUUUUCAUGCAGUACUGCAUUUAAGAUAGACAUUGUCAAUGCUAAUACUGUACUUGCAGCAAGACAACACUUAGAUAAAAAAAACAUUAGAAAUAUCACUUGUCACACUGAUGCAAAAUGUUUCAAGUGAGACAUAUUUGGAGUACAAUUAACACAUGCUUCCUUUCUCUUUCUUUUUUUUUUCUUCUUACUCUAUUCAUGGUAUAUUGGAUAGAAUUGUAUUUACUGAAAUCCAGUGUUGGCCUGAUCUUGACAGGCGGGACCUGCAUGAUAUGGCUUUGAUAUCUAGUGCAGUUAUAAUGUAUGUCAAGCAUUUUUAAUUGCAUAAGGAGAACAGGAUCUAAAAGGUUAUGUUGAUGAAAGAGAGUGUGGUAAAGCAGAAGCUAAAUUAUUCAGAAGAGAAUCUUUUUUCUUCUUCUUUUAAGCAGAUGACAUGGGAUGGGAGAUUUUCAAAGUAUCUUUCUCCUUCACAGCACGGCCUGCUGCCAGAAAGACUUUCAACUAGCAUUGCUGCUAGUAUGGCUUGAGGACUUUGAGCAGUGUGGCGGAAGCCUGAGUAAAUGCUAUAUAGAGGGAUUAAGAAUGUGUGCACAUGGGAGGGGGAUAUUAAUGGCCUUCGGUACAGUUUUUAGUGUUGUCUCUGUAGUUCUGAUAUCAUAAAGGGCAUUUUUAAAGUGGAUACUGCUCAGGUGGCCUCCAAAGAUGUUACUUUAUAUGCAUAAAUUAAGCACAUACUUCUGGAGUUGAGAGAAUUCGGGAAGAUUUAAUAUUUUUGGGAUACUUGUGUAAUCCAUUAAUCACUUGCCCAACAGGCUUUUGUUCGUUUGUUUUUUCCUAUAGAAAGUGUAUCCCCAUAAUUGCACAAGAGUUCAAAUGUUUUGCUUUCAAUAGCCUAUUGUAUGGUUUUAAUUUAAGGCAUGACUGCAGUUGCAAUAAGGCUAAAAAAUCACAGCUGCAUGUUUCGCAUUCUCCUGCUUCCAUUGUGGGCAGGAGGUGGUGUUUCAUGUCAUUGAAUCACUACUGCUCACUGUUGUAACAAGGCAGCCUCAUGCACCUGUUAAAUUGACUGCCCAAGUAGCCUUGGCAAUUAGCAAAUGAGCAUGAGGACUAUAUCUCAACACUACGCUUAGACAAUAUCAGCUAGCCGCUUGUACUCUGAAAACAUCUCAAUCGUUCAGUUUUCCAUUUCAACAAAUUGAAAUUCUUGGUAUGUGAAUUUUCGUUUUGGCUCUUUCUUCCUUUCUUUCUGAAAUGUACAGUGAAUAGGAUGUUGCACUGGUGGCAAUUCAUCACGGAGCAUAAUAAAAUUAAUUUGACUCGG